GAUGAAGAACGCAGCGAAAUGCGAUAAGUAAUGUGAAUUGCAGAAUUCAGUGAAUCAUCGAAUCUUUGAACGCACAUUUCGCCCGCCAGUAUUCUGGCGGGCAUGCCUGUUCGAGCGUCAUUUCAACCCUCAAGCCCUCGGGUUUGGUGUUGGGGAUCGGCGAGCCUUUCUGGCAAGCCGGCCCCGAAAUCUAGUGGCGGUCUCGCUGCAGCCUCCAUUGCGUAGUAGUAAAACCCUCGCAACUGGAACGCGGCGCGGCCAAGCCGUUAAACCCCCAACUUCUGAAUGUUGACCUCGGAUCAGGUAGGAAUACCCGCUGAACUUAAGCAUAUCAAUAAGCGGAGGA
rnacentral:misc_RNA from 1 species